CUGCUGUCGGCUGGACUGAAGGAUCCACACUGGAGACUGGAAGCUCUCAGCCUAUUACCAUAUAGCACCAUUUUCCACAUGGUACUGAAUGAACCUGGGAAACCGACCCAUCUACUGGAACCACAAUGACAUGGUAGUCAGAGCAGCAGGGGGCCAAAUAUAGCUCCAUGUGGAACCAAGAGGUUGGAGAGAGAAAAUCAGUUU